rnacentral:misc_RNA from 1 species
GAUGAAGAACGCAGCGAAAUGCGAUAAGUAGUGUGAAUUGCAGAAUUCAGUGAAUCAUCGAAUCUUUGAACGCACAUUGCGCCCCUUGGUAUUCCAUGGGGCAUGCCUGUUCGAGCGUCAUUUGUACCUUCAAGCUUUGCUUGGUGUUGGGUGUUUGUCUCGCCUUUGCGUGUAGACUCGCCUUAAAAUAAUUGGCAGCCGUCGUAUUGAUUUCGGAGCGCAGUACAUCUCGCGCUUUGCACUCAUAACGACAGCGUCCAAAAGUACAUUUUACACUCUUGACCUCGGAUCAGGUAGGGAUACCCGCUGAACUUAAGCAUAUCAAUAAGCGGAGGA